rnacentral:rRNA from 1 species
UACGUAGGGGGCAAGCGUUGUCCGGAUUUAUUGGGCGUAAAGCGCGUGUAGGCGGCCAGGUAGGUCCGCUGUGAAAACCCGAGGCUCAACCUCGGGACGUCGGCGGAAACCAUCUGGCUAGAGUCCGGAAGAGGAGAGUGGAAUUCCCGGUGUAGCGGUGAAAUGCGCAGAUAUCGGGAAGAACACCCGUGGCGAAGGCAGCUCGCUGGGACGUUACUGACGCUGAGACGCGAAAGCGUGGGGAGCAAACAGG